rnacentral:rRNA from 1 species
GAUGAACGCUGGCGGCGUGCCUAAUACAUGCAAGUCGAGCGAACAGACGAGGAGCUUGCUUCUCUGACGUUAGCGGCGGACGGGUGAGUAACACGUGGAUAACCUACCUAUAAGACUGGGAUAACUUCGGGAAACCGGAGCUAAUACCGGAUAAUAUAUUGAACCGCAUGGUUCAAUAGUGAAAGACGGUUUUGCUGUCACUUAUAGAUGGAUCCGCGCCGCAUUAGCUAGUUGGUAAGGUAACGGCUUACCAAGGCAACGAUGCGUAGCCGACCUGAGAGGGUGAUCGGCCACACUGGAACUGAGACACGGUCCAGACUCCUACGGGAGGCAGCAGUAGGGAAUCUUCCGCAAUGGGCGAAAGCCUGACGGAGCAACGCCGCGUGAGUGAUGAAGGUCUUCGGAUCGUAAAACUCUGUUAUUAGGGAAGAACAAAUGUAUAAGUAACUAUGCACGUCUUGACGGUACCUAAUCAGAAAGCCACGGCUAACUACGUG